rnacentral:rRNA from 1 species
CGCGUAGGCGGAUGGUUAAGUCCGGUGUGAAAGCCCCGGGCUCAACCUGGGAAUUGCAUUUGAAACUGGGGAACUAGAGUGUGUGAGAGGGGGGUAGAAUUCCAAGUGUAGCGGUGAAAUGCGUAGAGAUUUGGAGGAAUACCAGUGGCGAAGGCGGCCCCCUGGCACAACACUGACGCUCAGGUGCGAAAGCGUGGGGAGCAAACAGGAUUAGAUACCCUUGUA